CCGUCAAGUUUGUACGAGUGCCGAUCGCGUUGUUGCACAAUAUCGAGGCACAAUGGAGGAGAUGCGUCAGCCACUUGAGGUCGUAAGAGAUGACUAGCAGUCUACUGAAUACGAGUCCGUGUUCCGAGCAAACUUGGUCGACGAAGACGCCGUCAAUGAAUGGAUGGAAGUGUACAGCGUACGGACCAACACUUCUUGGAUUGUCUGGCGCGUCCAGAGUGCUGGGGAAAGGAUGACUUUUCACAAAAUUUGGCGCUGCCAGCAUCACACAAAGAACAAGAAGAGUGGCCCACGCAAUGCCAAGUGCAUGGCCAAAGUUGAUGUAAAAAUAAAGCUUGCCACGUUUGACAC